rnacentral:lncRNA from 1 species
GAUCCAAUGGCUUAGGGCCUUAAUUGGGUUGGUUUAGGACUCCUAAUACUAAUCUAACAAGGGUUUUCUAAGCCUAUAAAGGCCUGAGAACAGUAAGAGAGAGGUGAGUGGUGGUUUUGGCUUUUCACAAAAGAACCCAGGUGGCUUGGUUUUUUGUUGCAGAGAGAACCCAUGAACAUGGGAUGCGGUGGACGGGCUUUGCACGAAGAUGAGGAAUCUGAGAAGAAGAGAGAGAGAGCCAUAUGCUAUAGAGAGGAGUAGGGCUCCUGGAC